GAUGAACGCUGGCGGCGUGCCUAAUACAUGCAAGUCGAGCGAACAGACGAGGAGCUUGCUCCUCUGACGUUAGCGGCGGACGGGUGAGUAACACGUGGAUAACCUACCUAUAAGACGGGGAUAACUUCGGGAAACCGGAGCUAAUACUGGAUAAUAUAUUGAACCGCAUGGUUCAAUAGUGAAAGACGGCUUUGCUGUCUCUUAUAGACGGAUCCGGGCCGGAUUAGCUAGUUGGUAAGGUAACGGCUUACCAAGGCAACGAUGCGUAGCCGACCUGAGAGGAUGAUCGGCCACACUGGAACUGAGACACGGUCCAGACUCCUACGGGAGGCAGCAGUAGGGAAUCUUCGGCAAUGGGCGAAAGCCUGACGGAGCAACGCCGCGUGAGUGAUGAAGGUCUUCGGAUCGUAAAACUCUGUUAUUAGGGAAGAACAACUGUGUAAGUAACUAUGCACGUCUUGACGGUACCUAAUCAGAAAGCAACGGCUAACUACGUG
rnacentral:rRNA from 1 species